rnacentral:pre_miRNA from 13 species
GCUAGUAAUCCUUCUUUGCAAAGUCAUUUAUUAUUUUUCCUUCAAUUACUAUAAUCAAUGACUUUGCAAAGAUAGAUUUACUAGCUAAAUCUU